CCAGCCCAAUACACGAGAGGGGGACUAUAUAAGAAUCAAUGAAGCUGUCACUAUCACGAACUACCCCACGAUCUGGCAUGUUGGGUACAAUCGCAGAUAAAUACGGUAUAAGCACCACGCCUACACAAUAUCUAUCAUUUACCCAUGGAUCCGAUGGAUAAACGCUAUACGAUCCUAAGCAUGUAUAUAGAUCGAAUCUAACUAAGCCAAGUACAUAACUGUGAUAAACUAAGAACAAUAUAAUCUUGAAUAUAAGCAAGUAGAGCAAAGUCAUAAGCAAUAUAUUGAAGUAGAACAAAGUCAUAUUCAUAAUAUUGAAGAACAAAGAUAAUUAGAAAGCAAUUAGAAGCACAAUUAGAGAAUUACCAAGAAUCCUCUUGAC
rnacentral:lncRNA from 1 species